GUGAGGAAUAUUGGUCAAUGGACGGAAGUCUGAACCAGCCAUGCCGCGUGAAGGAUGAAGGCGUUCUGCGUUGUAAACUUCUUUUAUCAGAGAAGAAACCACUGAUUUCUAUUAGUGUUGACGGUAUCUGAUGAAUAAGCACCGGCUAACUCCGUGCCAGCAGCCGCGGUAAUACGGAGGGUGCAAGCGUUAUCUGGAUUUACUGGGUUUAAAGGGUGUGUAGGCGGGCUAUUAAGUCAGGGGUGAAAUCCCGGGGCUCAACCUCGGAACUGCCUUUGAUACUAUUAGUCUUGAAUUAUGUUGAGGUUGGCGGAAUAUAACAUGUAGCGGUGAAAUGCAUAGAUAUGUUAUAGAACACCGAUUGCGAAGGCAGCUGGCUAAACAUAUAUUGACGCUGAGGCACGAAAGCGUGGGUAGCGAACAGGAUUAGAAACCCCUGUAGUCC
rnacentral:rRNA from 1 species